rnacentral:rRNA from 1 species
AAAGAAACCCCGGCUAACUCCGUGCCAGCAGCCGCGGUAAUACGGAGGGGGUUAGCGUUGUUCGGAAUUACUGGGCGUAAAGCGCACGUAGGCGGAUUAGAAAGUUAGAGGUGAAAUCCCAGGGCUCAACCCUGGAACUGCCUUUAAUACUGCUAGUCUUGAGUUCGAGAGAGGUGAGUGGAAUUCCAAGUGUAGAGGUGAAAUUCGUAGAUAUUCGGAGGAACACCAGUGGCGAAGGCGGCUCACUGGCUCGAUACUGACGCUGAGGUGCUAAAGUGUGGGGAGCAAACAGGAUUAGAUACCCUGGUAGUCCACACCNUAAACGAUGAAUGCCAGACGUCAGCAAGUAUACUUGUCGGUGUCACACCUAACGGAUUAAGCAUUCCGCCUGGGGAGUACGGUCGCAAGAUUAAAACUCAAAUGAAUUGACGG